rnacentral:rRNA from 2 species
UGGGGAAUAUUGCACAAUGGGCGCAAGCCUGAUGCAGCCAUGCCGCGUGUGUGAAGAAGGCCUUCGGGUUGUAAAGCACUUUCAGCGAGGAGGAAGGUGGUGGACUUAAUACGUUCAUCAAUUGACGUUACUCGCAGAAGAAGCACCGGCUAACUCCGUGCCAGCAGCCGCGGUAAUACGGAGGGUGCAAGCGUUAAUCGGAAUUACUGGGCGUAAAGCGCACGCAGGCGGUUUGUUAAGUCAGAUGUGAAAUCCCCGGGCUCAACCUGGGAACUGCAUUUGAAACUGGCAAGCUAGAGUCUCGUAGAGGGGGGUAGAAUUCCAGGUGUAGCGGUGAAAUGCGUAGAGAUCUGGAGGAAUACCGGUGGCGAAGGCGGCCCCCUGGACGAAGACUGACGCUCAGGUGCGAAAGCGUGGGGAGCAAACA